GUAUAAGAGACAGCAGUAGCCGCGGGAAUACAGAGGGUGCGAGCGUUAAUCGGAUUUACUGGGCGUAAAGCGUGCGUAGGCGGCUUCUUAAGUCGGAUGUGAAAUCCCUGAGCUUAACUUAGGAAUUGCAUUCGAUACUGGGAAGCUAGAGUAUGGGAGAGGAUGGUAGAAUUCCAGGUGUAGCGGUGAAAUGCGUAGAGAUCUGGAGGAAUACCGAUGGCGAAGGCAGCCAUCUGGCCUAAUACUGACGCUGAGGUACGAAAGCAUGGGGAGCAAACAGGAUUAGAUACCCCUGUAGUCCCUGUCUCUUAUAC
rnacentral:rRNA from 1 species